AGAAAAGUGAAAUUUGCUAACUGAUGAAGUGAGUGAUAUGUCCUGAAGUAAUCCUUCACAUUUUUGUGAUCAGACUGUGCACUAUACAAAAUAACACAUGUAAACACAAGACUCAAAGUGAAUGCAUUUGAACUGCAAAGUUCCCAUAGCCAUCUGAAAACUAACAGCAUUUGAGUGCUUUUAACAAACGUUUUUCUUUGGUUGGAUGUCUGUAGAUAGGACAUUUUCCCAGUGGCCACUUAUCAGCUGUACUGUACUACUGUACUGUAGUGAGUUCAUUCUUCUCUCACUCUCUUUCCUCCAGCAUAACCAGAUAGCAUAUUUCACUUUACUCAGUUUUAAGCCAGAUGAGUUGGCAGUUACACCCAGUAUCAGUAACGCAACUGAAGAGCACUGAACAGCCAAAUCUGUGACUUUAUUCUUUCAGAUUAAAUCCAUCCUCUCUUUUCUGUUCAUCCUGAGUCCUGUGUGAUUCAUUGGUGCAACACAACCUUAAUGCUGCAAGCGUUUCAAUACUGUUUGUUUUUCUUUUUAGGCUGCCCUAGUGCUUUAAACAACGUUGUGUCAGUAGACUGGGCUCCUACAGUUAACCUUGCAUAUCAGGGAGGUAAGCCCAUGUUAGAUGCCUCGCGUCAAGAACAGAAGAUUAAGUCCAGAGACGAUCAACGAAGACACACAGAUGGUGCAGAGGCCUUGCUGGAUUUUCAUUAAUCAGCCAAGAAUUCAGAGCCAGAGGAUGUGACUGAGAUGUUACACAAUCGAAAAGGUGUCACCACUUCUUCUAUGAUACCAUCCAUGAUGGCCGGAACGCUGUCCACGAUCACAGAGACAUGGUCCAUGAUCGGAGAGACAUUGCCGAAGAUAAGGGAGACAUUGUCCACGAUCAGACAUCGUCUAUGAUCGCAGAGAGUCUUCCUACAAUGAAGUUCCAGGAGGCGGAGGCAAAGACAACAGCAGCUGAAGACCUGAAGAGGAUGAAAGAAAACAAAAGUGUUAUGAAGCUGUCAAUUAGAUAAAAGACUUCCAUCAUCUGUAAAAAGUUUCCUGUUGUUCAAGUGAAAACACUGUUUUUUCUCUAUCAUCUGUAAUGUAGUCAUGGGCAUAGUUCCCAAAGACUACUAUGUCUUUUUAAAAACACCUGUGAGAACAUUCAGCUACUCAUGAUAAAAUUAUUGAAUUAAUAAUAGUACUACAAGCGGUUAAAUGAUCACAAAGAUGCUUAGUAGACAUCUUCAUCAAUUUGCUCAUAACUACAUUAACACUAAACAGCUCUAACCAGCGUUUCCUUGUGGUCAAAUGUCUGACAUUAUCUUUGCCAUGAUUUGUGUUAUCUGGAAUAAAAUCAUUACAAGUGUCUUCCUAAAGUUUUGAGUUGUCUCUAUUUUGAAAACAGUGUUAUACAAAU